UGCAAGUCGAGCGGUAGAGAGAAGCUUGCUUCUCUUGAGAGCGGCGGACGGGUGAGUAAUGCCUAGGAAUCUGCCUGGUAGUGGGGGAUAACGUUCGGAAACGGACGCUAAUACCGCAUACGUCCUACGGGAGAAAGCAGGGGACCUUCGGGCCUUGCGCUAUCAGAUGAGCCUAGGUCGGAUUAGCUAGUGGGUGGGGUAAUGGCUCACCAAGGCGACGAUCCGUAACUGGUCUGAGAGGAUGAUCAGUCACACUGGAACUGAGACACGGUCCAGACUCCUACGGGAGGCAGCAGUGGGGAAUAUUGGACAAUGGGCGAAAGCCUGAUCCAGCCAUGCCGCGUGUGUGAAGAAGGUCUUCGGAUUGUAAAGCACUUUAAGUUGGGAGGAAGGGUUGUAGAUUAAUACUCUGCAAUUUUGACGUUACCGACAGAAUAAGCACCGGCUAACUCUGUG
rnacentral:rRNA from 1 species